rnacentral:misc_RNA from 1 species
CCUCAUAUAAUAUAGAUUUUAAAGAAAAAGAGGCUUUAAGGAAGAAGUUUUCCGCUUGAUAAGAUAAGUCCGGGGAAGGUUUUCCGGUUUAUCUCGGAGGGCUUGUAGCUCAGUUGGUUAGAGCGCGCGCUUGAUAAGCGUGAGGUCGGAGGUUCAAGUCCUCCCAGGCCCACCAAUUUAUGUAUCAAAUUAUAAGCGCUUGUAAAACUUUCCUCUAUCUUUCCGCUAUGAAGCUUGCUUAUAAACCUGUAAGGAGCUUGCUUAUGAAGAAGCUUUCUUAAUAAAAAUAUGGCGCUUUUCUAUUUCGCUUAAGUAAUCCAAAGUUAAAGCGGUUCAAACGCAAAGUGAUCCCGACUUAAAGGCGAUCAAAAAUUUGAAAGUUUCGAAUCCUUUCUCCUGUUUUCGGGGCCGUAGCUCAGCUGGGAGAGCACCUGCUUUGCAAGCAGGGGGCGU